GACGAACGCUGGCGGCGUGCUUAACACAUGCAAGUCGAACGAUGAACCAGGGCUUGCCCUGGGGAUUAGUGGCGAACGGGUGAGUAACACGUGGGCAACCUACCCCAGACACCGGGAUAACCUCUCGAAAGAGUGGCUAAUACCGGAUAUGACCACUUCGGGCAUCCGACGGUGGUGGAAAGGAUUCUGGUCUGGGAUGGGCCCGCGGCCUAUCAGCUAGUUGGUGGGGUAAUGGCCUACCAAGGCGUCGACGGGUAGCCGGCCUGAGAGGGCGACCGGCCACACUGGGACUGAGACACGGCCCAGACCCCUACGGGAGGCAGCAGUGGGGAAUAUUGCGCAAUGGGCGAAAGCCUGACGCAGCGACGCCGCGUGAGGGACGAAGGUCUUCGGAUUGUAAACCUCUUUCAGCAGGGACGAAGCGAAAGUGACUGUACCUGCAGAAGAAGCACCGGCUAACUACGUGCC
rnacentral:rRNA from 1 species